AACUUAAAGGAAUUGACGGGGCCGCACAAGCAGCGGAGCGUGUGGUUUAAUUCGAUGAUACGCGAAGAACCUCACCCAGGUUUGACAUGCAUGUGGUACCAAGGUGAAAGCUGAGGGACCCUUCGGGGAGCAUGCACAGGUGUUGCACGGCCGUCGUCAGCUCGUGCCGUGAGGUGUUGGGUUAAGUCCCGCAACGAGCGCAACCCCUGUCGCCAGUUGUAUUUUUCUGGCGAGACUGCCGAGAAAACCUCGGAGGAAGGAGGGGACGAUGUCAGGUCAGCGUGGCCCUUACGCCUGGGGCUACACACACGCUACAAUGGGCAGUACAACGGGUCGCGAAGCCGCGAGGUGGAGCUAAUCCCAUCAAAGCUGUCCUCAGUUCGGAUUGCAGGCUGAAACCCGCCUGCAUGAAGCCGGAGUUGCUAGUAACCGCAGGUCAGCAUUACUGCGGUGAAUACGUUCCCGGGCCUU
rnacentral:rRNA from 1 species